rnacentral:rRNA from 1 species
AAGUAACGGCGAGUGAAGCGGCAACAGCUCAAAUUUUGAGAUCUGGCUUCGGCCCGAGUAGUAAUUUGUAGAGGAGGCUUUAGGCGCGGCACCUUCUGAGUAUUCUGGAGCGGGGCGCCACAGAGGGUGAGAGCCCCGUAUAGUUGGADGCCUAGCCUGUGUAAAGCUCCUUCGACGAGUCGAGUAGUUUGGGARUGCUGCUCAAAAUGGGAGGUAAAUUUCUUCUAAAGCUAAAUACCGGCCAGAGACCGAUAGCGCACAAGUAGAGUGAUCGAAAGAUGAAAAGCACUUUGAAAAGAGGGUUAAAUAGCACGUGAAAUUGUUGAAAGGGAAGCGCUUGUGACCAGACUUGCGCCGGGCGGAUCAUCCGGUGUUCUCACCGGUGCACUCCGCCCGGCUCAGGCCAGCAUCGGUUCUCGCGGGGGGAUAAAGGCCCCGGGAACGUAGCUCCUCCGGGAGUGUUAUAGCCCGGGGCGUAAUGCCCUCGCGGGGACCGAGGACCGCGCAUCU